rnacentral:rRNA from 1 species
CGUGAGGGAAAGGUGAAAAGAACCCCGGGAGGGGAGUGAAAGAGAACCUGAAACCGUGAGCUUACAAGCAGACAGAGCACCAUAUGCGUGUGAUGUCGUACUUUUUGUAGAACGGGCCGGCGAGUUACGAUGUGAUGCGAGGUUAAGUGCCACAGGCACGGAGCCGAAGCGAAAGCGAGUUUGAAGAGAGCGAAAAGUAUCAUGUCGUAGACCCGAAACCUGAUGACCUAACCAUGAACAGGUUGAAGCAAUGGUAAAACGUUGUGGAGGACCGAACACACGCCUGUUGAAAUAGUCGGUGAUGAUUUGUGGUUAGCGGAGAAAUUCCAAACGAAUCGGGAUAUAGCUGGUUCUCCUCGAAAUAGCUUUAGGGCUAGCCUCACAUGUAGAUCACCGCAGGUAGAGCACUGAAUGGCCUAGGGGGCUUCACGGCUUACCGAAGCUUAUUAAACUCCGAAUGGCGGAUAAUCGAUGAACGGGAGUCAGACUGCGACAGACAAGUGCCGUAGUCAAAAGGGAAACAGCCCAGAUCCACAGCUAAGGUCCCAAAGUACAGGUUAAGUGGGAAAGGAUGUGAAAUUGCACAGACAACCGGGAUGUUGGCUCAGAAGCAGCCACACAUUAAAAGAGUGCGUAAUAGCUCACCGGUCGAGUGAUUUUGCGCCGAAAAUUAACGGGGCUCAAACCUGACACCGAAGCUUGGGAAUGUACGAAGUACAUUGGUAGAGGAGCAAUGCGUACGGGCAGAAGCCAUACCGGAAGGAGUGGUGGACUGUACGGAAGAGAGAAUGCCGGCAUAAGUAGCGAGAGGGGUGCGAGAAACGCCCCCGUCGAAAGUCUGAGGUUUCCUGGGGAAGGUUCGUCCGCCCAGGGUAAGUCGGGACCUAAGUCGAGGCCGAAAGGCGUAGAUGAUGGACAACAGGUUGAAAUUCCUGUACUACCGAAUAAGAUAAUGAAGCAGUGACACGGAAGGAUAGUCUGAGCGUGCGGAUGGAAAAGCACGUCCAAGCGGAAGCGUAGGCUUGUAGUGAAGUACGCAAGUCGGUAAAGCGUAGCCGUGAUGGGGAGCGGAUUAGAGAAGCGAAGCAGGUGAAUCCAUGCCGGCGAGAAAAGCUGCUAAAUAGUGUGAAGGUGCCCGUACCGCAAACCGACACAGGUAGACGAGAAGAAAAUUCUAAGACGAACGGGAGAACCCUUGUUAAGGAACUCGGCAAAUUGACCCCGUAACUUCGGGAGAAGGGGAACCGCGAAAGCGGUCACAGAAAAGAGGCCCAAGCGACUGUUUAUCAAAAACACAGGUUUCUGCGAAAGCGCAAGCUGACGUAUAGGAGCUGACGCCUGCCCAGUGCCGGAAGGUCAAGGGGACUUGUUAGCGCAAGCGAAGCAACGAACUCAAGCCCCGGUGAACGGCGGCCGUAACUAUAACGGUCCUAAGGUAGCGAAAUUCCUUGUCGGGUAAGUUCCGACCCGCACGAAUGGCGUAACGAUUUGGGCACUGUCUCAACAGGGGGCCCGGCGAAAUUGUAGUAUACGUGAAGAUGCGUAUUAACCCGCGACUGGACGGAGAGACCCCGUAGAGCUUUACUAUAACUUGAUAUUGGAUCACGACAACUGAUGCACAGGAUAGGUGGGACGCUAAGAAGCACCUCUUUCGGGGGGUGUGGAGCGGCCGUUGGGAUACCACUCUUCGGUUGUUGGGAUUCUAACCGAAUGCCGUGAAUCCGGGUUUGGGACAGUGUCAGGCGGGUAGUUUGACUGGGGCGGUCGCCUCCUAAACGGUAACGGAGGCGCCCAAAGGUUCCCUCAGAAUGGUUGGAAAUCAUUCGUCGAGUGUAAAGGCACAAGGGAGCUUGACUGUGAGACAGACAUGUCGAACAGGUGCGAAAGCAGGGCUUAGUGAUCAGGCGGUAGAGAAUGGAAUUGCCGUCGCUUAACGGAUAAAAGUUACCUCGGGGAUAACAGGCUGAUCUCCCCCAAGAGUUCACAUCGACGGGGAGGUUUGGCACCUCGAUGUCGGCUCAUCGCAUCCUGGGGCUG